AUUGAACGCUGGCGGCAGGCCUAACACAUGCAAGUCGAGCGGAUGAGAAGAGCUUGCUCUUCGAUUCAGCGGCGGACGGGUGAGUAAUGCCUAGGAAUCUGCCUGGUAGUGGGGGACAACGUUUCGAAAGGAACGCUAAUACCGCAUACGUCCUACGGGAGAAAGCAGGGGACCUUCGGGCCUUGCGCUAUCAGAUGAGCCUAGGUCGGAUUAGCUAGUUGGUGAGGUAAUGGCUCACCAAGGCGACGAUCCGUAACUGGUCCGAGAGGAUGAUCAGUCAAACUGGAACUGAGACACGGUCCAGACUCCUACGGGAGGCAGCAGUGGGGAAUAUUGGACAAUGGGCGAAAGCCUGAUCCAGCCAUGCCGCGUGUGUGAAGAAGGUCUUCGGAUUGUAAAGCACUUUAAGUUGGGAGGAAGGGCAGUAAGUUAAUACCUUGCUGUUUUGACGUUACCGACAGAAUAAGCACCGGCUAACUCUGUGCCAGCCGCCGCCGUAAGAC
rnacentral:rRNA from 1 species